UACAGAGGGUGCAAGCGUUAAUCGGAAUUACUGGGCGUAAAGCGCACGUAGGCGGAUAUUUAAGUCGGGUGUGAAAUCCCCGGGCUCAACCUGGGAACUGCAUUCGAUACUGGAUAUCUAGAGUCUAGCAGAGGAAAGUGGAAUUCCCGGUGUAGCGGUGAAAUUCGUAGAUAUUGGCAGGAACACCAGUGGCGAUGGCGGCUUGCUGGGCUAGUACUGACGCUGAGACGCGAAAUCGUGGGGAGCAAACAGG
rnacentral:rRNA from 1 species